rnacentral:rRNA from 1 species
GACGAACCGAGCGAACGUUGCUCGGAAUUACUGGGCGUAAAGCGCACGUAGGCGGAUCAUUAAGUCGGGGGUGAAAUCCUGGAGCUCAACUCCAGAACUGCCUUCGAUACUGGCGAUCUUGAGUCCGGGAGAGGUGAGUGGAACUCCGAGUGUAGAGGUGAAAUUCGUAGAUAUUCGGAAGAACACCAGUGGCGAAGGCGGCUCACUGGCCCGGUACUGACGCUGAGGUGCGAAAGCGUGGGGAGCAAACAGG